CCGCUGAUCGAAAAGACAUUUCGUUUUAUUAAAACGAUUUUAUGGAACAUGUAACUUAAUCCAUAGCCGAGUGAUUAGAAUGUCGGACUUGUGAUCAUCCCUUCAUCCUGAGUUCGAAUCCCGUAGGGGCUUUUGUUGUUAGUUACUGGAAUAUUUAUUUUAGAUAAUUCAUUUUUCAUCCCCAAACGUAAAACUUUUCACUUAUUUGACAUUUGUACAUUUCUUUUAUUAUUAUAUCUUCAUUAUAAAAAAAAAAUUCUGUUAAUUUGAGUUACUUUUUUCAGGUGUGUUAUUCCACCAUAAGGUUGUAUGGGACACACCCUUAUUGUGAGGUACUAUUUUAUCGAAAUAAAUGGAAGUGCACUUG
rnacentral:misc_RNA from 1 species